AGUCGAACGCGAAAGUGGAGCAAUCCAUGAGUAGAGUGGCAAACGGGUGAGUAACGCGUGGGUGACCUGCCUUCGAGUGGGGGAUAACGUUCCGAAAGGGACGCUAAUACCGCAUGACAUCCAGCCUUUGAAGAGGCGGAGAUCAAAGCCGGGGAUCGCAAGACCUGGCGCUCGAUGAGGGGCCCGCGUCUGAUUAGCUAGUUGGUGGGGUAACGGCUCACCAAGGCAACGAUCAGUAUCCGGCCUGAGAGGGCGGACGGACACACUGGGACUGAGACACGGCCCAGACUCCUACGGGAGGCAGCAGUGGGGAAUUGUUCGCAAUGGGCGCAAGCCUGACGACGCAACGCCGCGUGGAGGAUGAAGAUCUUCGGGUCGUAAACUCCUUUCGAUCGAGACGAAUAGCUUCCGGGUAAACAAUCCGGAGGUUUGACGGUACCGAGAGAAGAAGCCCCGGCUAACUCCGUGCCAGCAGCCGCGGUAAUACGGGGGGGGCAAGCGUUGUUCGGAAUUACUGGGCGUAAAGGGCUCGUAGGCGGCCAACUAAGUCAGACGUGAAAUCCCUCGGCUUAACCGGGGAACUGCGUCUGAUACUGGAUGGCUUGAGUUUGGGAGAGGGAUGCGGAAUUCCAGGUGUAGCGGUGAAAUGCGUAGAUAUCUGGAGGAACACCGGUGGCGAAGGCGGCAUCCUGGACCAACACUGACGCUGAGUGAGCGAAAGCCAGGGGAGCAAACGGGAUUAGAUACCCCGGUAGUCCUGGCCCUAAACGAUGAAUGCUUGGUGUGGCGGGUAUCGAUCCCUGCCGUGCCGAAGCUAACGCAUUAA
rnacentral:rRNA from 1 species